rnacentral:lncRNA from 1 species
AAAGUGCGUGAACGUUAAAUAUACUGUAAAGUGCUUGACUCUUUCAAAUUUUAUUUACGUAAAUUUUCUGAUGAUAUAAGUUUCAAUCAUCUAGAUUUUAUUCCCAUCUACUUUAAAAGUGGACGUACUUUUUCUCUCUUUUUUUUGGUGAAAAGCUUGCAGAUCAUACAUGACACAUUCGUUUGCACUCUUAGCGGGAUCUGGCCGCCCAAAAUAAGGAUACUAACCAAUCAGCCUAUCAUUAGUUUGCAGUGGAUAUGUG